rnacentral:misc_RNA from 1 species
UCCGGUUUGUCACCGGCAGUCUCCUCAGAGUCCCCGACUUUACUCGCUGGUAACAUAGAACGAGGGUUGCGCUCGUUGCGGGAUUUAACCCAACAUUUCACAACACGAGCUGACGACAGCCAUGCACCACCUGUGAAUCACCCUCGAAGGCGACUACUUUUCGGUAGCUUGCAGAUCCAUGUCAAGCCCUGGUAAGGUUCUUCGCGUUGCAUCGAAUUAAGCCACAUGCUCCACCGCUUGUGCGGGCCCCCGCCAAUUCCUUUGAGUUUUAGCCUUGCGGCCGUACUCCCCAGGCGGGGCACUUAAUGCGUUAGCUACGGCGCGGAAAACGUGGAAUGUCCCCCACACCUAGUGCCCAACGUUUACGGCAUGGACUAC